UACGUAGGGGGCAAGCGUUGUCCGGAAUCAUUGGGCGUAAAGCGCGUGUAGGCGGUUCGAUAAGUCUGCUGUGAAAGUCCAGGGCUCAACCCUGGGAUGCCGGUGGAUACUGUCGGACUAGAGUGCGGAGGAGGCGAGUGGAAUUCCCGGUGUAGCGGUGAAAUGCGCAGAUAUCGGGAGGAACACCAAUUGCGAAGGCAGCUCGCUGGGACGUUACUGACGCUGAGACGCGAAAGCGUGGGGAGCAAACAGG
rnacentral:rRNA from 1 species